GUAGGUGAACCUGCGGAAGGAUCAUUAACACGUAAAUAUACGUUUAUCAACCAAAAUGUGAAUUCAUUACUUAAACAAAAAAGGAUGCAGUUAACACUACUGUGGUAGGUUAAAUAGAGCAAUUUAUUUAACAGUGUUAAUCAGCUAAGAUUUAAUUCUAAAAUCCUUCUUUUUUUAAGCUUUCCCCUUAUAGCCAUACUACACUAUAAACACCCUUUUAACCCUUUUUAUACCUAUUGACUGAAAAUAAUAUUUUUUUGUGUAAAAGCUAAAAAAUAUUUGAUAUCAACUAAACUAAAAGCACAACUCUUAGCAACGGAUAUCUUGGUUUUC
rnacentral:misc_RNA from 1 species